GUCAGCAGUCACACCACCUGCAGUUCAGACUAUGUGAUCCACCUGCAGCUAAGCUGGUUUAGGCUUGGCCAGUACUUGGAUGGGAGACUAACUACAAAAGCUGGGUUGCUGCUGGAA
rnacentral:rRNA from 1 species